rnacentral:rRNA from 1 species
CGCGCAGGCGGUCGAUCAAGUCGAGUGUGAAAGCCCCCGGCUCAACUGGGGAGGGUCAUUCGAUACUGAUCGACUCGAAGGCAGGAGAGGGUAGUGGAAUUCCCGGUGUAGUGGUGAAAUGCGUAGAUAUCGGGAGGAACACCAGUGGCGAAGGCGACUACCUGCCUGUCCUUGACGCUGAGGCGCGAAAGCUAGGGAGCAAACG